rnacentral:lncRNA from 1 species
GUUUGCCAUGGAACUUGUAUCUCCAUUCUAAAGAGUUGAUCUAGUGUGGUCAGACUCCUGAUUCUGAGCCAGCUCAGAAGUUAGACAGGCUUUUCUUCAGAUUAGCAGUCAGCAGAACAGCCAGGCAGUGAGCACAGGGUGGACGACUCUACUGAGUGUGGAGUUAGCACAGGGUGGACGACUCUACUGAGUGUGGAGUUAGCACAGGGUGGACGACUCUACUGUGAGUGUGGAGUUAGCACAGGGUGGACGACUCUACUGUGAGUGUGGAGUUAGCACAGGGUGGAGGACUCUACUGAGUGUGGAGUGUGCACAGGGUGGAGGACUCUACUGUGAGUGUGGACUGUGCACAGGGAGAAGGACUGUACUGAGUGUGGGGUGCUUGCAAUGAUUUGUUAACAACAAUGUCUAACUUUCUGAGAUUCCCUGAGCCACUCUUUACUCUUCAUCCUCUCCCUUCCAACAAUGCUAUGAGCAUCCAAGAGGAACUUCUGCUUUAAGUACAGCUCCCAUUUCUGAGAGGACUCAUCACACCUAAUUUGAGUAAUUUCCUUUUCAAUUUCCUGGGCCAUUUUAUUUUACCUCUGGCUGCCCCUUGGAUGAGUGCAGUUUCCUUUGCUGUGAUAAAACACCAUCCCAAAAGCAACUAGGAGAGAAGGGUGUGUGUCAUCUUACAGCUUGUAAACCAUCAUCCAGGAAAGGCAGGGAAGGAACUCAAGGCAGGUACCUAGAGGUAAGAGCUGAAGAAUUGGUGAUCAUUUUUACUUAUAUCCUCCUGUUUCAAUUUUUG